rnacentral:rRNA from 1 species
UACGUAGGGUGCGAGCGUUUAAUCGGAAUUACUGGGCGUAAAGCGUGCGCAGGCGGUGAUGUAAGACAGAUGUGAAAUCCCCGGGCUCAACCUGGGACCUGCAUUUGUGACUGCACAUGCUGAGAGUACGGCAGAGGGGGGAUGGAAUUCCGCGUGUAGCAGUGAAAUGCGUAGAUAUGUGGAGGAACACCGAUGGCGAAGG